CCUCUCUAUUUCUUUGCUGAUCCCUUCGUUCCCUUUGCUCUCGUGGUGCCGAUUUUUCUUCCUCUUCCCCAACUGAAGCACCGAGGUUGCCACCGCUCGCAACGCCUCCUCUCCCCCGCGUACAAAAGCAGUGCCCAAGGAGACGAAUCCCUUCUCAUUUUGCCCCGAGUUCGCCUCACACGAUCUGUAAAACAUCGCUGCCGCCACCUGAGGUCGCAUCACCAUUUGUUGAUCGCCAGUCACUGUGGGGGCUUGAGCUCUUCCAUCUUCACCACCAAGCGCCUCCCCUCUGCAAUAGAUCGCCGACCCCGCUGACCUCGUCGUGCCUCCUCGCAUUGACGGCCGAACCCUAGAUCUGCCCGACUCGAGUCGACGCCACCGUGUGCUAACAGCCGGCGUAGCCGUUCAUCCACGCGAGCAGCCAACACCGAGGGAGUUGUUCACAGUCAGCCCUUUCUGUGCCCUAGCUCUGGCCAUUAUCUCCUACAGUAGCUACUUUGCUGCUUGCUGCCAUCAUACAAGUAAGGUUUGGUGUUGAGGUAAGAAGUAGAGGAAUUGUUUCAUCUGCUGUAGCAUACACGGGUUUGAAGUUAGAAAAGGUUAGGAAUGAACUGUACUCGAAUUUAUUUAAGUUUAGGUUGAUUAUGUAUAGAUUUUGAUUAAAUUGAAUAGUGGAAAGGUUAGGGUUAAUGGAGCUAACCCCAAUUAACUUGUGAGAUAUAUUUAGUUAGGGAUUAAGUAAUGGAUUUAAUCUAAGCUUCGGAUUAGACUUGAUUAUGUGACUAAAUGAGAUAUAAUGAAAGAAUUAGAGUUCCUGAUAAAUAAGAAUUUGGUUUAGCUGAUUUGUUAUAUAUAUGUGGGAGUAGCUAAAUUAAAUGUGUUGUUAUAGGACUCUGAUUUGCGACGAGCUGUCUUACGUGGGGUUAUUUUUGGCAUGCGCUAUAUUUAAGACGGGACAUUGGCAUCCUCUCCUUGGCGGUGGAGCCCACCAUUCUCUCCUCUCGGCCUACUCGCUAGCGGGUUCAAUCCCAAUCCCUCGAUCGGUCUCAGCAACUAGCCAGCCUCAAUCUACAAAAGCUCUAGGCCCGUGAAGUUGCAAAUGAACUUCAUGCGAGUAUCAAGGCAUCAAGGAAUCCUAUUGUUUGGCUUGAAACUUCUUCAGGCUCCUUCCAGACAGCAAGUACAGAUACGUCCAUGCAUACUUCAAGAUGCUUACAAUAUUUAUUCUUCUUCUUGUGGACAAGGUUAUAGAAUUUUUUGUUUGUUUGUUUGGUGCAGGGUAUUCUCUACUGAAACAAACUACAGAAACACAACCUUGUCUAUUAGUACUAUAGAUUGCUGAUAUUAUACUUGAUUCCAUCACUAUUUGGUACCAGCAAACAUCAAUGUCUUGCAACCUUAGGAUGACUAUUCCAAUUUUCAUCAAGUAUUUCUCAAUGAGUCAAUGUUGCAAUCUCAGCUAACAAUAGUAUGUAAAUUCUGUCAUCAUUGGUUCUAUAUCCAUGUUUGUUCCUGUUGAACAAAUGGAAAAUUUAUUCUAAAGUAGGGAGGAUGAAUCAAAUAAAUUAACCUAAUUUGCUGAAGUGGAACCAAAGUCAGUUGCUUGUCUUACCUGAACCUAAUUUUCUUUGGCACUGAACUACAAAAUUGAUUUUGUUGGAAUGUUUACAUGAGUUCACUAAGGAAAUAAAUUUUAAAACCCAUUUAUGUUAUAGAGUAAGAAAAUAAACAUAUGCUAAUUUAUGUUCUCCUUUUUAUUGACUCCAACAUCCCUAUUUAUUAUAAUCUUCAUUGCAGCCCUUGAUGAUGCUAAAGAUAGGAGAAAGCAUUGAUCACUAUCCUCUUCUCCUAGAGUUGUCAUUCUUGUGCGGAUGGAAAUUAUAUCAUUUAAGCUCCAAGUUCUACUGGCUGAGUUUUUAUUGGGUGUGAUAAUCUUCUUGUUUUGUUCUUAAUUGCAAGAUCUUUUUUUUUUGUAAAUUUGCUAAAUUGAUUGAGGAGUUGAUUAAGUUCCUUAAUUGUAUAUAUCCACGCUUACUCAAUAAAGUUAUACUUGGCAUUA